CAAGUCGAACGGCAGCACGGGAGCUUGCUCCUGGUGGCGAGUGGCGAACGGGUGAGUAAAGCAUCGGAACGUACCUUGUCGAGGGGGAUAACGCAGCGAAAGUUGUGCUAAUACCGCAUACGUCCUGAGGGAGAAAGCGGGGGACCGCAAGGCCUCGCGCGAUGAGAGCGGCCGAUGUCAGAUUAGCUAGUUGGUGAGGUAAAGGCUCACCAAGGCGACGAUCUGUAGCGGGUCUGAGAGGAUGAUCCGCCACACUGGGACUGAGACACGGCCCAGACUCCUACGGGAGGCAGCAGUGGGGAAUUUUGGACAAUGGGGGAAACCCUGAUCCAGCCAUGCCGCGUGAGUGAAGAAGGCCUUCGGGUUGUAAAGCUCUUUCGGCCGGGAAAAAAUUGCACGGAUGAACAGUCUGUGUAGAUGAUGGUACCGGACUAAGAAGCACCGGCUAACUACGUGCCAGCAGCCGCGGUAAUA
rnacentral:rRNA from 1 species